rnacentral:miRNA from 1 species
UGAAGCUGCCAGCAUGAUCUGAGC